GAAAUGCGAUAAGUAGUGUGAAUUGCAGAAUUCAGUGAAUCAUCGAAUCUUUGAACGCACAUUGCGCCCUUUGGUAUUCCAAAGGGCAUGCCUGUUCGAGCGUCAUUUGUACCCUCAAGCUUUGCUUGGUGUUGAGCGUCUUGUCUCUAGCUUUGCUGGAGACUCGCCUUAAAGUAAUUGGCAGCCGGCCUACUGGUUUCGGAGCGCAGCACAAGUCGCACUCUCUAUCAGCAAAGGUCUAGCAUCCAUUAAGCCUUUUUUCAACUUUUGACCUCGGAUCAGGUAGGGAUACCCGCUGAACUUAAGC
rnacentral:misc_RNA from 1 species